rnacentral:rRNA from 1 species
CCUACGGGAGGCAGCAGUGAGGAAUAUUGGUCAAUGGUCGGGAGACUGAACCAGCCAAGCCGCGUGAGGGAUGAAGGUACAGAGUAUCGUAAACCUCUUUUGUCAGGGAGCAAAGGCUGGGACGUCUCCACGGAUGAGUGUACCUGAAGAAAAAGCAUCGGCUAACUCCGUGCCAGCAGCCGCGGUAAUACGGAGGAUGCGAGUGUUAUCCGGGUGUAGUGGGUUAAAGGGGUGCGCAGGCGGUCUGUUCAGUCAGCGGUAAAAGCCCGGGGUUAAACCCCGGCCCGCCGUUGAAACUGGCAGUCUCGAGUUGGAGAGAAGUAUGCGGAAUGCGCGGUGUAGCGGUGAAAUGCGUAGAUAUCGCGCAGAACUCCGAUUGCGAAGGCAGCAUGCCGGCUCCACACUGACGCUGAGGCACGAAAGCGUGGGUAUCGAACAGGAUUAGAUACCCCAGUAGUC